AAGAAAAAUUCCAUUUUUCUUUUCUUCUUCUCUCUCCCUCCACCGCCAAGUUUCCCUCGUCCAUUUCUUCACCAUUUUCUUCAACAUUUUUGCACCAAAUUUCAGAGGAGAUUUCAAAGGGUAGAAAGCUGAGAAAGGAAGAAGAAGAUGUUCAAAGAUGUAUGUUGAAGAAGACAAGGAGUUUGCAAGACAAACUUCUCUAUAGUUCAUUAAACACAUCUCUGGUGUUUUGAUCGGUUUGAGCUACAAAAAAAAAAAGAAUUAAGAGGUUACGUUCCGUUGUUGAUGUUGAGUGUACUCCAUGACAACGAUGCUAUUAUGAGUGUUGGGCGAGCCCUAUUACGACAAAGACAAUGGAAGUGCUGGACGGGCUCCACUACAUCGUAGAACUAAUAAACGUCGGUUGUACUGGACGUGCCCUACACAACGUAGAGAUCGAGUUCCCAGUGCCUGAUAGACUGCCUUAGUCUUCUGAAGCUUCGAUAUUGAUUGCCAGUACGUGGUUAGAGUUGUGCAUAAAGUCUGUUGUGUUAUGAUGUAGAUAUCUUUGUAUGAUAUAGAUACUUUACAGUUUGGGUAAGUUUAGGAGCUACGGUUGUGUAAACCUUUGUGGGUUAUGUUUUGGUUAAGGUGUCCCUAUGUUUACUUGCGCAAUAAGUUAUUUUCAGGCUACACUUCAUGUAUGUUUAUGAUUAGUCUAGGUUCUGCUAUGUUGUGUUGCAUGUAGAAUAGUUUUUAUACUAAAUUA